UCAGUGCAGUCAAGCAACACAAUGGAUCCACUUGUGAUGACUUAUCAUCGAUGGUUCAAGCAGUCAAAAUCCCUUCAAUCUUGUCUCAGCACCGGAAGUUUGCCUUGCUUACUGGAGAGCUUCGGCAGAUUAUAUAAAUCAACACUCUGCCAAGAAGCUAAACCUUGUGACUUUGGCAAACUAUUUUUAGUGUAGAUCCUGGAAUUAAUUUUAGCACCUGCCAAGUUGGAAAUUUGCUUGGGCAAUUGGGUAAUAUUUGUUGUCUUAUUAAUAAUCU
rnacentral:misc_RNA from 1 species